UUAUGUUAACAUUUUGUUGGGUUAUUGUCUUUGGGUGAAUAGAAUUCAGUCAUGCCUUUUAGGAAAUCCAUCAAAUUGAAAUUAUCUUUGAAACAAUCUGCCUGUGUAAAUGUAGCAAAAAAAAAAAAAGCAUGUUUCUACACAAAAUUACCACAACCCCAGUAGCUUUCCUAUAGUGAUAGGUCAGAGCUGGAAAAACUUAUCAGAACAAUUCUAUUCCAAAAGCUAUAGUAUUUAGAAUAAAACAAAAUGGCUAAAGGCUGCCAAAUCCCCCCUCCCAAUAAAACAAAAACAGAAAAACUGUCAGUCAACACAAAUUCUGUAGCAGACUUCUAUUGCAGUACAGGUUUGGAAGAAGAAUUUGAAGUGAAAAUGUCCAACUAAUCAAUUGAAUAUAGAAAACAGAAUAAAAGAAUCAGGAUAUCAAUAAUUUGUUAUUCUCUUUAUAAUUAGUUGUUUUGUCUUUGUUUUUUCUCAGUCCUCUAUACUGAGGAAGAGGUCAUUUGUUCUUCCGGUGCCUUCCGUAUAUUCUCAAGGAUGAUCCUUCAAAUGCAUUCAAGACUGUUCAGGCCAUUGACGAGGAAGCCACACUCACUCGGGGAAUGAAAGUUGGAGUUCUGCUGGUGAAAGAUGGAGAGGACAUCAUUGCCACAUCAGUCAUUCUUGAGGAACAAGUGGUCCUGCCUGAUGUGGAGGACAUUCCUCAUGCCAUUGCUCUACUGAUGGGUCUGCUUUUUGCCUUUAAUAUAGACUAUCCAAAGGAACUCAGGUACACAUUUGAAGUUUUUCAAAAGGUCCUGAUGAACAUCGGCGGAGGUCAGUGUUCCUCCCUUGUGCAUGGUUUUAGAAACAGACUGUUACAGAAAACCAUGUAGAUUCUCCUGAAAUGUCUCAUCUCAUGACUCAUGGAUGUCUGAGCUUUUUGAAAGCACUCAACGUUUCCUGUUAAACAUUGUUCCAAAGGUCAUAUAGAAGUUUGGCACAUGGUUUGGAAUUCUUGUUUUGUUAUUUCAUCUGUUUAGGUUUAUUCCAUCAGAAAAUAUAGUCAUAUCAGUUCAAAGCCAAUCAAAUGCAUAGGUUGAUAAAAAGUAUUGCAAUAAAGAGGUCAACAUAAGACCAAACGAUAGAGGACAAGAUUAAAAUGUGCACUAUUUGUUUAGAACUACUAUUUUGAAUUGUAGUAUCAUUUUGAAUUUUAUUUUAUUGUUUUUAUUUGUGCAAGGUUUUGUCAGAUGCUUUAAAAGUUUAUGCACUUGAGUUAAUGUGCAAUGACUUGUCUCAUUUAAGACACUAAAUAUGUUCUAACUAUAAGACCUUGAUAAGCUGCUGUGUUAAUGUUUUUUUUUGAGUGCAGACUGUUCUAAAACGUUUUCACUAUUCAUUACAAAACAAAACAGCUUCAGUAAAUGUUGCAGAGCUGUAACUUCAUUACUGCUAAAUAAAUAAAAAAACUAGCUGAGUUGAUGAA